UACGAAGGGGGCUAGCGUUGUUCGGAAUUACUGGGCGUAAAGCGCACGUAGGCGGACUAUUAAGUCAGGGGUGAAAUCCCGGGGCUCAACCCCGGAACUGCCUUUGAUACUGGUAGUCUCGAGUCCGAGAGAGGUGAGUGGAAUUCCGAGUGUAGAGGUGAAAUUCGUAGAUAUUCGGAGGAACACCAGUGGCGAAGGCGGCUCACUGGCGUCGUACGUGACGCUGAGUGCGAAAGCCAGGGAGGCAAACGGG
rnacentral:rRNA from 1 species